CCUCCGUAGGUGAACCUGCGGAGGGAUCAUUACACAAUAAAAUAUGAAGGCUGUACGCGGCUGUGCUCUCGGGCCAGUUUUGCGGAGGCUGAAUUAUUUAUUACCCUUGUCUUUUGCGCACUUGUUGUUUCCUGGGCGGGUUCGCCCGCCACCAGGACCACAUCAUAAACCUUUUUUAUGCAGUUGCAAUCAGCGUCAGUAUAACAAAUGUAAAUCAUUUACAACUUUCAACAACGGAUCUUUUGGUUUUGGCAUCGAUGAAGAACGCAGCGAAAUGCGAUACGUAGUGUGAAUUGCAGAAUUCAGUGAAUCAUUGAAUCUUUGAACGCACAUUGCGCCCUUUGGUAUUCCAAAGGGCAUGCCUGUUCGAGCGUCAUUUGUACCUCCAAGCUUUGCUUGGUGUUGGGCGUCUUUUUUUUUUGUCUUGGGGCCUUUUGUGCCCUGAGACUCGCCUUAAAACGAUUGGCAGCCGGCCUACUGGUUUCGGAGCGCAGCACAUUUUUGCGCUUGCAAUCAGCAAAAGAGGCCAGCCAUCCAUCAAGACCAUUCUUCUCACUUUUGACCUCGGAUCAGGUAGGGAUACCCGCUGAACUUAAGCAUAUCAAUAAGCGGAGGAAAAGAAACCAACAGGGAUUGCCUCAGUAACG
rnacentral:rRNA from 1 species